UUGGAGGGCAAGUCUGGUGCCAGCAGCCGCGGUAAUUCCAGCUCCAAUAGCGUAUAUUAAAGUUGUUGCAGUUAAAAAGCUCGUAGUUGAAUUUCGGGGUCAGUAGGUUGGUCGGGCCAAUGGUGUGUACUGGCUUUACUGAUUCCUCCUUCUUGAAGAACUGUAAUGUCAUUAAUUUGGUGUUGCAGGGAAACAGGACUGUUACUUUGAAAAAAUUAGAGUGUUUAAAGCAGGCUAACGCUUGAAUACAUUAGCAUGGAAUAAUGAAAUAGGACGUUCGAUCCUAUUUUGUUGGUUUCUAGGAUUGACGUAAUGAUUAAUAGGGAUAGUUGGGGGCAUUAGUAUUCAAUUGUCAGAGGUGAAAUUCUUGGAUUUAUUGAAGACUAACUACUGCGAAAGCAUUUGCCAAGGAUGUUUUCAUUAAUCAAGAACGAAAGUUAGGGGAUCGAAGACGAUCAGAUACCGUCGUAGUCUUAACCAUAAACUAUGCCGACUAGGGAUCGGAUGAUGUUAAUUCUUUAAUGACUCAUUCGGCGCCUUACGGGAAAC
rnacentral:rRNA from 1 species